rnacentral:lncRNA from 1 species
ACGAAAAUUAUACACAGAGAAUCACGGAGCAAAAGUAGAAAAUGUACAUGGAAUCGCUUGGCGUUUAAAUCCAGAUAAAGUUUUCUCUCCAUGGGUCGACUGCGACCAGGGCUUCUCGUCAUCCACCGACAGCCUGGUUCACCGCCGCUUGGCCCAGUGCCCACAAGGCCCCCAGGAGCCCUUCAUGUCCUGCAGCACCUGCCUCUCCGGGGCCUAGCCCGGGCGAAGAAACGACAUUUGCUCACUCAUCACGAAUUACUCGAUGAUCCGCUUCAUCACCGAUGCUGAGCUGGCCCGGACGUCGUGUCGGCCCAUUCCACUGACGGGUCAAGGCCGGAAAUGGUGUCAAUACUGGGGUUCUUCUCCUGCACCUACAGUCUAU